rnacentral:rRNA from 1 species
CAGUCGCCGCGGGAAUACGUAGGGUGCGAGCGUUAAUCGGAAUUACUGGGCGUAAAGCGGGCGCAGACGGUUACUUAAGCAGGAUGUGAAAUCCCCGGGCUCAACCUUGGAACUGCGUUCUGAACUGGGUGACUAGAGUGUGUCAGAGGGAGGUAGAAUUCCACGUGUAGCAGUGAAAUGCGUAGAGAUGUGGAGGAAUACCGAUGGCGAAGGCAGCCUCCCGGGAUAACACUGACGCUGAGGCACGAAAGCGUGGGGAGCAAACAGGAUUAGAUACCCGUGUAGUCCCUGUCUCUUAUAC